AUUGAACGCUGGCGGUAUGCUUAACACAUGCAAGUCGAACGAUGAGAAAGAGCUUGCUCUUUCGAUUAGUGGCGGACGGGUGCGUAACGCGUAGGAAUCUACCUAUUAGUGGGGGACAACUUAGGGAAACUUAAGCUAAUACCGCAUACGCCCUACGGGGGAAAGAAGGGGAUCGCAAGACCUUUUGCUAAUAGAUGAGCCUGCGUAGGAUUAGCUAGUUGGUGGGGUAAAAGCUCACCAAGGCGACGAUCCUUAACUGGUUUGAGAGAAUGAUCCGGCACACUGGAACUGAGACACGGUCCAGACUCCUACGGGAGGCAGCAGUGGGGAAUAUUGGACAAUGGGCGAAAGCCUGAUCCAGCAAUACAGCGUGUGUGAAGAAGGCCUUAGGGUUGUAAAGCACUUUCAAUUAAAAGGAAAACCUCGAAGCUAAUACCUUCGAGUUUGACAUUACCUUUAGAAGAAGCACCGGCUAACUCCGUGCCAGCCGCCGCGGUAACAC
rnacentral:rRNA from 1 species